CUAAAAAUGGCUGGGUUAUUUUUUAACCCAAAAUGCUGGGUUGAGUCUGUUGGGUUGUUUUGCUGGGUUAUUUUUUUACAUUUUAAACACUUUUUGGGUAGUUUCAGUUUUCUAGGUGUUGGGUUAAAACUGCUGGGUUAUUAUGUUGGGUUGUUUGAAGAGGCUCACGUGCUUCGCGCCCUUGAUGUUUGAAUGUGCUCAGCAAUGGUCGUCGUGAAAGGACAGAGUCACUGAAGCAGUUGUUUCAAGAGUGUGCAGAGUUUUAACGUCCAUCCAUUGAUGAGGCUAGCAAGACCUUCAAACAACUUCAGCCAAUUGCAACAAAUGUGGUGGAAUUUCUUCUCUGGACAGAAUCCUCGAAACCCUUUCCUUUCGUCCUGGCCAUGGGAAACAUGCAGCAGAUCUCUCAAUCUUUUUUCUCAAUCAGUCUCUCUGAAUACGGAAGUGACUUAAACUGCAAUUCGGCCAAGAUGGCGACGGCACGCACCGCCUACUUUAAGCUUCAAAAAUGCUCUUCACAAACCAAUGGGUGACGUCACAGACACUACUUGCAUAUUUUUUACAGUCUCUGGUUUAAAGGCAUUUUAAGUGCUUAAAAAAAUAAAUACCCCAGGCAAUGUGCUUCUAUGGGAAUUCCUGUAGUCCGUCAUUUUUCAAAUGGAUGAAUCCUCUCCAGUUCGUUUCCUUUGUACAUCUUUGUUCGCGACGAGUAACUUUAAUAAAUGAAGUAUUUUUAGUCAAAUACAUUCCAUUCUGUGAAACUUAAAACAUUUGUUCUUUAAAAAAACUUUACACAUCUAUGAAUGAUUUUACUUUUAAUUUAACAAUUACAUUGUUUCUUUUUUACACUGCUGUAGUUUUGUUUAUGUACAUUUCAGUAUUUCAUUUAUAUAUACUGUAAAAUUA